UACAGAGGGUGCGAGCGUUGUCCGGAAUCACUGGGCGUAAAGGGCGCGUAGGUGGCGACCCAAGUCGAUGGUGAAAGCUCGCCGCUCAACGGCGAGUCGGCCACUGAUACUGGGUUGCUGGAGCACUGUAGAGGCAGAUGGAAUUCCGGGUGUAGCGGUGAAAUGCGUAGAUAUCCGGAGGAACACCGGUGGCGAAGGCGGCUUCCUGGACCGACACUGACGCUGAGGCGCGAAAGCUAGGGGAGCAAACGGG
rnacentral:rRNA from 1 species